rnacentral:rRNA from 1 species
ACCAGCAGCCAUAUCACUCUGCAACUCACAACUGGUAAUGCACUGAAGCUAAGCAGGUGUGAGCCUGGUUGGUACCUGGAUGGGAGAUCUCCUGGGAAAAAAUAAUGUUGCUGAUG